AGAGAACCAAAGGAAGAGGGAGAAAGGACAAAAAGAGAAGUGGUUGAUCAACUCGGGGGUGAAGUUUGUGGUUGAGACUUGAAAAGGCUAUUGAGGAAAGAGAGCCUUCAGGAGCUAUUACAGUGUGAGAGAGAACAAGAUGAAAAGGUGGCUACAGAGGAUAUUUUAAGAUGUGGUGCUGUGGGUGAGGAAUUGCAUGUUCUUUAAUGUUCUCUGAAAGUUGAGAACAAAGGCCGAAAUUACUUUGUAAUGCCUUUUGGUAGCUGGGCUGUUUCUGUGAAUGCGAGACACUGCUGAGACUGGAAUCACAGCAGGGCUGAUGUCCUGUCAUGGAAGAGCCAAAUGACAACAAUGUCUGUUAGGCCACAUGGAAACUAAUGCUGUCCAGAGAAGAAAGGAAGAUACUUAAAGCUGACAAAUGAAACUAUUUCCAGUUCAACUCAUCUGUGUAAGAGGGGCACACACACUGUAGUGACGAUACAACGGAGGCACAAGCAACUUGCUCAAGGUCUACCUCCAAGCCCAGUUCUCUAUCAUUUAUAAUCUGAUUUAAUCUUUUGCUACCAUUGAGCUACCUGGAUAGUCAUCUCUUAGGGCCUGAAAUUCCUACGGCAUUCCUUCCCUUGCUAUUCCUUCCCAGGGAACAUGCGCUGACAUGUAAACGUCCACCAGAUGAACCCUGUACGGCAGGGAGCCUCACCAGAGGAGGGCCACUUCCUGGAGAGCCACGGAUUUUAUAGUUAACAAAGGACGGAAAGGUUCUUUCUGCUGAGUUUUCCCCCUGUGCUGCCCCCUCAUGAGUGCCUAAGUCUUAAUAGGACAUUCUAGGUCUGUUACAGUCUAGACAUAUGGUUUUGAAAUCUUUUCACCCAUUACUUUCAGAAAUCAGCAAUAGAGUAUCUUUUGAGCUCCUCAGAUUUUCUGAGCUUGCAUCUAGCAUAAUUCAGAAAAGAUGACUUCUCACAGUCUGUUCAUUCAACAUGUAUUCAUUGAACUUCCACUAUAUAUCUGAUACAUAUCUGAUAUAUAUAUCUAGGCUGAGUACUGGGGUCACGUGAUGCACAAGAUGCAGUCUCUGUGCCCUAGAAGCUCAUGAUUGGUUGCAGAACAGUCAUACAAAAUAAUAGUUUAGUUACAAGAAUGAAUUUUGGUGCUGGUUAAAGCAUAUCAUUUAAAAGUCCUAAUCAUGAGUUUUAAAAUGUUUUCUUGAUAGCUCUUUGCUAGUGAUCUUUCAAUGUGAGACUCCGUGCUAUUUUGGAUAAAAGGAUUCUUUGAGAAUUCAAAAAAGAUGCUUGUCUUCAUUUAAAUGUACCCAACUUGGGCAUAGUUUGGGAGCAUCCUAAGUUCAGAAGAUGUGAAGAGUAUACACAUGGGAAAUAGGCUGGGACUUCUUGCUUGAAAUUGAUACAGAUUAGAAGUCCUAGGAGUGGAGAAUUUUAAGGCAAGGACCUCCUAUAAUGGUGACUUUCAAACCAAGCUGAGAAGGUUCUAAGAGGAAUAUUGAUGUUGUUUUGAAAGAAAGUUCAAAGAUAAUGCCAGGUCUGUUUAAUUGUCACCUGUCCAUCAAGGGACAAUACUUCAGGGCUAACAACUCACAGCAUGGAGACUUAAGGGUGGCUUCUCCAGACUUUGAGUUUCUGUAUCUUCCCAGAGCAGGGAAAUUCUAUCCCAGAUCAAGAGAUCCCUACUUGCAGUUACUCCUGAUUUGUUGUUGGGAAGGUAAAUUAUCUGCCAAAUGUGAUUAGAAAUGUGAACCAAAAAGAUUAUCAGUCACUCAAGAUGUUUUUGACCUAAUUUUUAUUGCCUAUAGGUUUAAAUUGUGACCAGGGAACCGGGCAAAGAAAGGGUCAUUGAGGAUAUUAUCCAUAAUUAACACGGUCUGUCAAAAGUUUUUCAGAACAAGAAGAAACUAUGUGUUCUGUUUUGCAGAAACUGAUGUCCUUGUUUUGCAGAUGUUGCUAUUUUUCAGAGAAACUCACAUGUUUGCAGCAAAACUCCUGCAAAUUGUCCCAGCUCCAUGCACCCUAAAGAUACCUUAACUCUUUAACAUCUUAAAUUCUCCUUCUCUGGGAGGAUCCAAGCAGCCAUUUUCAGUUCAUGCAAUGUACGUAGUAGCAUGUUUACCUGAUAUGCAUACACCCUGAAUGAGCACAGUUGUUACACACUGGUUACAAAUAAACCUGUUAUCAUCUGCUCUCUCGUGUAUAAAAUCUCAGCCAGCACUUAGCUCAGAGAGACACUGCUUUGGGGAAAUAUCCCAGUUGUUCUCCAUUGUUUGUGCAAGUAAUAAACCUGUUUCCUCACCUACUUCUGCCUAGGUUGUGCUUUUUGGCUCUGCAUUCACCAAGAGACGAACCCUCUGAGUUCAGUUACAAAAUGGAUGAGAAUUUGGUUAUUACCCCUGCUGUAGGACUUUCCUUCAGCCCUGAUACAUAGAGCUGGUGAUGAAUAUCCAAAAGACCGGAAUUACGGAAGAUGGACUAACACUGCCAAUAUGGAGAAUCUGUGUGUAUGAGAGAGAGAAUGGAGACAAAGGGGAGAGAGUUAGUGGCGGU
rnacentral:lncRNA from 1 species